rnacentral:rRNA from 1 species
UACCAGCACCCGAGUGGUCGGACGAUUAUUGGGUACCUAAGCAUCCGUAGCCGGUUCUACAAGUCUUCCGUUAAAGUCCACCCUCGCUUAACAGAUGGGCUGCGGAGGAUACUAUGGAGCUAGGAGGCGGGAGAGGCAAGCGGUACUUAGUGGGUAGGGGUAAAAUCCGUUGAUCCAUUGAAGACCACCAGUGGCGAAGGCGGCUUGCCAGA